rnacentral:rRNA from 1 species
CGAAAUUCCUUGUCAGGUAAGUUCUGACCCGCACGAAAGGCGUAAUGAUUUGGGCGCUGUCUCGGCAGCAGACUCGGUGAAAUCUUAGUACCUGUGAAGAUGCAGGUUACCCGCAACUAGACGGAAAGACCCCAUGGAGCUUUACUGUAGCCUGAUAUUGAGUUUUGAUCAAGUAUGUACAGGAUAGGUGGGAGACGAAGAAGUUGGGACGUCAGUUUCAAUGGAGUCGACGUUGGGAUACCACUCUUAGUUGAUUGAAAUUCUAACCUGUAUCCAUGAGCUGGGUAAGGGACAGUGUCAGGUGGGCAGUUUGACUGGGGCGGUCGCCUCCUAAAGAGUAACGGAGGCGCCCAAAGGUACCCUCAGAUUGGUUGGAAAUCAAUCGACGAGCGCAAAUGCAGAAGGGUGCUUGACUGCAAGACAGACAAGUCGAGCAGGGACGAAAGUCGGGAUUAGUGAUCCGGCGGUGCAGAAUGGAAUGGCCGUCGCUUAACGGAUAAAAGCUACCCUGGGGAUAACAGGCUGAUCUCGCCCAAGAGUUCACAUCGACGGCGAGGUUUGGCACCUCGAUGUCGGCUCAUCGCAUCCUGGAGCUGAAUUCGGUUCCAAGGGUUGGGCUGUCCGCCCAUUAAAGCGGUACGCGAGCUGGGUUCAGAACGUCGUGAGACAGUUCGGUCCCUAUCUGUUGUGGGCGUAGGAAAUUUGAGGAGAGCUGUCCUUAGUACGAGAGGACCGGGAUGGACCCACCGCUGGUGCACCAGUUGUAUCGCCAGAUGCAUAGCUGGGUAGCUAAGUGGGGAACGGAUAAACGCUGAAGGCAUCUAAGCGUGAAACCGACUCCGAGAUGAGAUUUCCCAUUUCCAAGAGAAAGUAAGACCCCUUGAAGACGACGAGGUAGAUAGGUCAGAGAUGGAAGCACAGCGAUGUGUGGAGUUGACUGAUACUAAUCGGUCGAGGAUUUAAUCAC